AGGAAGCGAGAAGUCGACGCGCCGACCCCCGCGAGGGGGGCGAGGCGUCCGGCCCUCCGCGAGCGCCCGCGUGGGUGUGGGUUACGGACCCCGUCCGAUCCCGUUCCCACCGCGGGGCUGUCCGCGAUCAUGGAGGUGUCCUCGGACGGCGUCGAAUCACUCAAAGUUCUCCAGUCCGCGACGCAACGGCUUGGAUGGUCCACCCGACCCGUCUUGAAACACGGACCAAGGAGUCUAACAUGCGCGCGAGUCGUUGGGUCGGACACGCUCCGCUAAACCCAUAGGCGCAAUGAAAGUGAAGGCCGCCUUUCCGGCGGCCGAGGGAGGACGGGGCCGUCCGGGCGCUCCGGUGCUCGGCGGUCCCCGCACCCCCGGGGCGUCUGAUCCCUCAUCGCGAGGGGAGGCGCACCCAGAGCGCACACGUUGGGACCCGAAAGAUGGUGAACUAUGCCUGGCCAGGACGAAGUCAGGGGAAACCCUGAUGGAGGUCCGUAGCGAUUCUGACGUGCAAAUCGAUCGUCGGAGCUGGGUAUAGGGGCGAAAGACUAAUCGAACCAUCUAGUAGCUGGUUCCCUCCGAAGUUUCCCUCAGGAUAGCUUGCGCUCGGAGGAGAGUCUCAUCCGGUAAAGCGAAUGAUUAGAGGCCUUGGGGCCGAAACGGCUUCAACCUAUUCUCAAACUUUAAAUGGGUGAGAACUCCGGCUUGCUCGACCGAUCGAAGCCGGAGACGGGGCCGUCCUUCGGGGCGGACCCCCGGGAUCGGAGUGCAUAGUGGGCCACUUUUGGUAAGCAGAACUGGCGCUGUGGGAUGAACCAAACGACGGGUUAAGGCGCCCGAAUCGACGCUCAUGGGAAACCAUGAAAGGUGUUGGUUGCUUAAGACAGCAGGACGGUGGCCAUGGAAGUCGGAAUCCGCUAAGGAGUGUGUAAUAACUCACCUGCCGAAGCAACUAGCCCUGAAAAUGGAUGGCGCUGAAGCGUCGUGCCUAUACCCGGCCGUCGCGGCAGGGCGGACCCGGCCUCGCGUCGGGUGCCGCUUGAUGCGGCGACGAGUAGGAGGGUCGCGGCGGCGCGCGCAGAAGGGUCUGGGCUCGAGCCUGCCUGGAGCCGCCGCCGGUGCAGAUCUUGGUGGUAGUAGCAAAUACUCCAGCGAGGCCCUGGAGGACUGAUGUGGAGAAGGGUUUCGUGUGAACAGCCGUUGCACACGAGUCAGUCGAUCCUAAGCCCUAGGAGAAAUCCGACGCCAACGGCGACGGGAAAAAUUGAGAAAAGAGAAAGAAACCCGUUGAUCGGGCGAAAGGGAAUCCGGUUCCUAUUCCGGAACCCGGCAGCGGAACCGCUGUUUGUCGGGCCCUCACAAGGGGUUCGUCAGGGUAACCUAAAAGGGCCCGGAGACGCCGUCGGGAGCCCCGGAAAGAGUUUUCUUUUCUGCAUGAGCGUUCGAGUUCCCUG
rnacentral:rRNA from 1 species